rnacentral:rRNA from 1 species
GAUGAACGCUAGCUACAGGCUUAACACAUGCAAGUCGAGGGGAAACGAUAGAGAAAGCUUGCUUUUUCUAGGCGUCGACCGGCGCACGGGUGAGUAACGCGUAUCCAACCUGCCCAUCACUUGGGGAUAACCUUGCGAAAGUAAGACUAAUACCCAAUGAUAUCUCAAGAAGACAUCUGAAUGAGAUUAAAGAUUUAUCGGUGAUGGAUGGGGAUGCGUCUGAUUAGCUUGUUGGCGGGGUAACGGCCCACCAAGGCGACGAUCAGUAGGGGUUCUGAGAGGAAGGUCCCCCACAUUGGAACUGAGACACGGUCCAAACUCCUACGGGAGGCAGCAGUGAGGAAUAUUGGUCAAUGGGCGAGAGCCUGAACCAGCCAAGUAGCGUGCAGGAUGACGGCCCUAUGGGUUGUAAACUGCUUUUAUAAGGGAAUAAAGUGAGCCUCGUGAGGCUUUUUGCAUGUACCUUAUGAAUAAGGACCGGCUAAUUCCGUGCCAGCCGCCGCGGUAA